UCCCGCGUAAUUUAAGCAUAUUAAUAAGCGGAGGAAAAGAAACUAACAAGGAUUCCCCUAGUAGCUGCGAGCGAACAGGGAGGAGCCCAGCACCGAAUCCUGCGCGCCCGCCGGCACGUCUGGAAAUGUGGUGUUUGGGAGGAUCCGAUCAUCUCGCCCGGGUACGCCGGUCCAAGUCCAUCUUGAAAGCGGCCACAGCCCACAGAGGGUGCCAGGCCCGUAGGACGGCGGUCGCAUCCGGGCGAAAGGGUCUCUNNNNNNNNNNNNNNNNNNNNNNNNNNNNNNNNNNNNNNNNNNNNNNNNNNUGUGCGCGAGUCAUUGGGACGCGCACGAAGCCUAAAGGCGUAACGAAAGUGAAGGCCGGCAGCGGCGACGCGCGCGCCCACGGGCGCGCGCGCCCGCCCUCCGCCGAGGGGGGAUGCGACCCGUCCGCAAGCGACGUCGGCCGCCGCACCCCAGGGGCGUCUCGUUGUCAUUGCGACACAGCAGGCGCACCAAGAGCGUACACGUUGGGACCCGAAAGAUGGUGAACUGGCGCUCGGAGACGUUAUAAACGCGGAGCCGGAGCGCACCCCCUUUCGGGGGGGCCUGCGCCGAGCCCGCACGGAACCAGUCUCAUCUGGUAAAGCGAAUGAUUAGAGGCCUUGGGGCCGAAACGACCUCAACCUAUUCUCAAACUUUAAAUGGGUGAGAAAUUCGACUUGCUCGAACCCCGAUGAAGUCGAAUAAUAUUGUAUAUGAACGGAUGAACGAGUGCCAAGUGGGCCAAUUUUGGUAAGCAGAACUGGUGCUGUGGGAUGAACCAAACGUCGAGUUAAGGCGCCUAAAUCGAUGCUCAUGGGAUACCAUGAAAGGCGUUGGUUGCUUAAGACAGCAGCGAUGUUGAUGUGCAGUCGUACGAAAAACAAUGUUUGUGUGAAUGACCACGUCGGGCGAAAGGGAAUCCGGUUCCUAUUCCGGAACCCGGCAGCGGAACCGACCAUGCGGGCCAAUGUCGCGCGAGCGGCAACUCGUCGGGGUAACCCAAAAGGACCCGGAGACGCCGUCGGAUGAUCGAGGCAGAGUUUUCUGUUCUGUAUGAGCGUUCGAGUUCCAUGGAAUCGCCUAGCGCGGAGAUAUGGUUUGGAACGCGAAGAGCACCGCACUUGCGGCGGUGUCUCGAUCUAUCCCUCGGACCUUGAAAAUCCGGGAGAGGGCCACGUGGAGGUGUCGCGCCGGUUCGUACCCAUAUCCGCAGCAGGUCUCCAAGGUGAGGAGCCUCUAGUCGAUAGAA
rnacentral:rRNA from 1 species